rnacentral:rRNA from 2 species
AGAGUUUGAUCAUGGCUCAGAUUGAACGCUGGCGGCAGGCCUAACACAUGCAAGUCGAACGGUAACAGGAAGCAGCUUGCUGCUUUGCUGACGAGUGGCGGACGGGUGAGUAAUGUCUGGGAAACUGCCUGAUGGAGGGGGAUAACUACUGGAAACGGUGGCUAAUACCGCAUAACGUCGCAAGACCAAAGAGGGGGACCUUCGGGCCUCUUGCCAUCAGAUGUGCCCAGAUGGGAUUAGCUUGUUGGUGAGGUAACGGCUCACCAAGGCGACGAUCCCUAGCUGGUCUGAGAGGAUGACCAGCCACACUGGAACUGAGACACGGUCCAGACUCCUACGGGAGGCAGCAGUGGGGAAUAUUGCACAAUGGGCGCAAGCCUGAUGCAGCCAUGCCGCGUGUAUGAAGAAGGCCUUCGGGUUGUAAAGUACUUUCAGCGGGGAGGAAGGUGUUGUGGUUAAUAACCGCAGCAAUUGACGUUACCCGCAGAAGAAGCACCGGCUAACUCCGUGCCAGCAGCCGCGGUAAUACGGAGGGUGCAAGCGUUAAUCGGAAUUACUGGGCGUAAAGCGCACGCAGGCGGUCUGUCAAGUCGGAUGUGAAAUCCCCGGGCUCAACCUGGGAACUGCAUUCGAAACUGGCAGGCUUGAGUCUUGUAGAGGGGGGUAGAAUUCCAGGUGUAGCGGUGAAAUGCGUAGAGAUCUGGAGGAAUACCGGUGGCGAAGGCGGCCCCCUGGACAAAGACUGACGCUCAGGUGCGAAAGCGUGGGGAGCAAACAGGAUUAGAUACCCUGGUAGUCCACGCCGUAAACGAUGUCUACUUGGAGGUUGUGCCCUUGAGGCGUGGCUUCCGGAGCUAACGCGUUAAGUAGACCGCCUGGGGAGUACGGCCGCAAGGUUAAAACUCAAAUGAAUUGACGGGGGCCCGCACAAGCGGUGGAGCAUGUGGUUUAAUUCGAUGCAACGCGAAGAACCUUACCUGGUCUUGACAUCCACGGAAGUUUUCAGAGAUGGAAUGGUGCCUUCGGGAACCGUGAGACAGGUGCUGCAUGGCUGUCGUCAGCUCGUGUUGUGAAAUGUUGGGUUAAGUCCCGCAACGAGCGCAACCCUUAUCCUUUGUUGCCAGCGGUUAGGCCGGGAACUCAAAGGAGACUGCCAGUGAUAAACUGGAGGAAGGUGGGGAUGACGUCAAGUCAUCAUGGCCCUUACGACCAGGGCUACACACGUGCUACAAUGGCGCAUACAAAGAGAAGCGACCUCGCGAGAGCAAGCGGACCUCAUAAAGUGCGUCGUAGUCCGGAUUGGAGUCUGCAACUCGACUCCAUGAAGUCGGAAUCGCUAGUAAUCGUGGAUCAGAAUGCCACGGUGAAUACGUUCCCGGGCCUUGUACACACCGCCCGUCACACCAUGGGAGUGGGUUGCAAAAGAAGUAGGUAGCUUAACCUUCGGGAGGGCGCUUACCACUUUGUGAUUCAUGACUGGGGUGAAGUCGUAACAAGGUAACCGUAGGGGAACCUGCGGUUG